ACCCACUGCCGCUGAACCUGUCUGGGACUCCAGAGGCCCGGUUGGAAGCAUCAUAGAUCAGGAGCUGUGGAGACCGGCCUGGCUUCUGCAGGGACCCAGAACAUUAGCAGACCCAGGAGCUGAGCACAGAGCCUCAUCGUGAGAAGGUGCGCUGAGGAGUCCUGAUCAGUCAAGACAAGAUUGGAGCUGAGCUUUUAUCUCGGACUCACAAGGGGAAGUCCUCCCUAGGGGACAAUAUGCAAAUCCCCUGGUGGGUGCAGUGGUGUGGAAAGAGCCACUGAGUGGGAGGUGAAGGGAGGUAGACAUGUCUCCUCUGUGAGCAGUGUGAUAUACAGUGUUCCUUGAUUAAAAACUAAUAGAGAUAAAGUCUAAUUUACCAGUAGCAGUGGGAAGAAGGAUCUGAAUUUGAAAGUUUGGAUCUUGGGCAAGUAACAUUUUAUAGGAUGUCAGGGCUUCCAAGUUUUUGCCAACUCUGAGUGUGAACCUGUGUUCCCCGAGCCUGUAUGUGGCACAGCCACAACCAUGAGACCCCAGUUCAAAAGGAGAUUUUCUAUGUAGGAAGAGCAAGAACUGGAUCCACAGUUUUAAGUCUCAGAGUCAGCAGUACUAUGGAUGACAUUUUCCUAGGUUUUUAGUGAAAGUUGAUCAUAACUCAGGGACAUGAAUCUACCGUACAGCUGAUCGUUACAAUAGGAAAACAACCUGAGUAUU